GAUGAAGGCCUUCGGGUCGUAAAACUCUGUCCUCAAGGAAGAUAAUGACGGUACUUGAGGAGGAAGCCCCGGCUAACUACGUGCCAGCAGCCGCGGUAAUACGUAGGGGGCUAGCGUUAUCCGGAUUUACUGGGCGUCAAGGGUGCGUAGGCGGUCUUUCAAGUCAGGAGUGAAAGGCUACGGCUCAACCGUAGUAAGCUCUUGAAACUGGGAGACUUGAGUGCAGGAGAGGAGAGUGGAAUUCCUAGUGUAGCGGUGAAAUGCGUAGAUAUUAGGAGGAACACCAGUUGCGAAGGCGGCUCUCUGGACUGUAACUGACGCUGAGGC
rnacentral:rRNA from 1 species